UACGGGGGAGCAAGCGUUGUUCGGAUUUACUGGGCGUAAAGGGCGCGUAGGCGGCCACCGCAAGUCGACUGUGAAAUCUCCGGGCUUAACCCGGAAAGGUCAGCCGAUACUGCGGGCUAGAGUGCAGAAGGGGCAACUGGAAUUCUCGGUGUAGCGGUGAAAUGCGUAGAUAUCGAGAGGAACACCUGCGGCGAAGGCGGGUUGCUGGGCUGACACUGACGCUGACAGCGCGAAAGCUAGGGGAGCGAACGGG
rnacentral:rRNA from 1 species